UGUUCGCGAUUUCCCUGUUCUCUGCUGGC
rnacentral:piRNA from 1 species